rnacentral:rRNA from 1 species
CGCGGCCUAUCAGCUUGUUGGUGAGGUAAUGGCUCACCAAGGCACCGACGGGUAGCUGGUCUGAGAGGACGAUCAGCCACACUGGAACUGAGACACGGUCCAGACUCCUACGGGAGGCAGCAGCAGGGAAUCUUGCGCAAUGGGCGAAAGCCUGACGCAGCAACACCGCGUGAGGGAAGACGGCCUUAGGGUUGUAAACCUCUUUCAGAUGGGACGAAGGUUCGACGGUGAAUAGCCGAUCGGAUUGACGGUACCGUCAGAAGAAGCUCCGGCUAACUACGUGCCAGCAGCCGCGGUAAUACGUAGGGUGCGAGCGUUGUCCGGAAUUACUGGGCGUAAAGAGCUCGUAGGCGGUUUGUCACGUCGUCUGUGAAAUCCUAGGGCUUAACCCUGGACGUGCAGGCGAUACGGGCUGACUUGAGUACUACAGGGGAGACUGGAAUUUCUGGUGUAGCGGUGGAAUGCACAGAUAUCAGGAAGAACACCGAUGGCGAAGGCAGGUCUCUGGGUAGUAACUGACGCUGAGGAGCGAAAGCAUGGGUAGCGAACAGGAUUAGAUACCCUGGUAGUCCACGCCGUAAACGGUGGGCACUAGGUGUGGGGACUUUCAACGGUUUCCGUGCCGAAGCUAACGCAUUAAGUGCCCCGCCUGGGGAGUACGG